CCCUUAGAUGUUCUGGGCCGCACACGCGCUACACUGAAGGAGGCAGCGUGUACUCCUGGAUCGAAAGAUUUGGGUAACCCGCGAAUCUCCUUCGUGCUAGGGAUUGAGGUUUGCAAUUAUCCUUCAUGAACGAGGAAUUCCCAGUAAGUGCAAGUCAUAAGCUUGCGCUGACUACGUCCCUGCCCUUUGUACACACCGCCCGUCGCUACUACCGAUUGAAUGAUUUAGUGAGGACUUCGGACUGGGACCGAUGCGGCUUUCGGGCUGCGUCGGUAUUGUGGAAAGAUGUCCAAACUGUAUCAUUUAGAGGAAGUAAAAGUCGUAACA
rnacentral:rRNA from 1 species